rnacentral:rRNA from 1 species
AAGGAAUAUUGGGCAAUGGACGCAAGUCUGACCCAGCCAUGCCGCGUGCAGGAUGACGGCCCUACGGGUUGUAAACUGCUUUUGUACGGGAAAAAACCCCCCGACGUGUCGGGGGCUGAUGGUACCGUGCGAAUAAGCAUCGGCUAACUCCGUGCCAGCAGCCGCGGUAAUACGGAGGAUGCAAGCGUUAUCCGGAUUCAUUGGGUUUAAAGGGUGCGCAGGCGGGACGAUAAGUCAGUGGUGAAAUCCUACGGCUCAACUGUAGAACUGCCAUUGAUACUGUCGUCCUUGCGUAUAGUUGAAGUGGGCGGAAUGUGUCAUGUAGCGGUGAAAUGCUUAGAUAUGACACAGAACACCGAUCGCGAAGGCAGCUCGCUAAGCUAUAACUGACGCUCAGGCACGAAAGCGUGGGGAUCAAAC